GCAUUGGUGGUCUUCUGGGAGAGUUUUUGCUUGCUAUGCAAGAAGCCUGGGUUCAAUUUCCAGCUAAUACA
rnacentral:tRNA from 1 species